AGUUGGAUUGAAGGCUGGAACACGAAGGAACAGACAGUUUUAAGGGAACCAACCAGCAGAUGAAAUGUGUAGCUGGUUGGGGUAAGAAGAAUGACAUUUUUAAAAAGAAGGAAAAACAAAAAUCCAACUGUUUUUUGUGGAUGAAAGUUCCUGGAAAGGAGAUGAACCUGCUUGCCCACAGCAAGGACCUCAGCAGCUGCGCCGGAGAGACUGGAAUGUUCCAGGUCCUGAGCCAAAUUACUUUGGGCCAAUCAUUAGCCUCUUUAACAGCCUUUGCUUGCCCUUCUGUAUGCGUCCCAGCAGCUCUGGGGCCCUUAGGUAAGUCUGUCUUCCACCAAGCACAAGGCUGAGAGUCCAUCAGCUGCUGUCUGAGGCCCAUGUCUGCUGUGCCUUUGUCCUUCUGGGACCUGCCUGCCCGCGUGUAUGAAAAGGGUCUUGAUUAAUGAUUCCCUUUGUUCUGGUACUAUAAAGCUUCCGGGAACAGUUACUCUAUCCGAACAUUAUGUAUGUAAAACAAACAAACAAAAACAAAACAGAGAACUCUGUUCCCAAGCCGUGGCCAUCCCUGUAGGCUCCAGAAUAAACUCUCUCU
rnacentral:lncRNA from 1 species